AUUAGGAAUCUUGCGCAAUGGGGGCAACCCUGACGCAGCGACGCCGCGUGAAGGAUGACGGCCUUCGGGCUGUAAACUUCUUUUAGGCAGGAAGAAAAGGGCGUAUGCCCCGUGACGGUACUGCCUGAAUAAGCCCCGGCUAACUACGUGCCAGCAGCCGCGGUAAUACGUAGGGGGCGAGCGUUGUCCGAAGUUACUGGGCGUAAAGCGCGCGUAGGCGGCUCCUUAAGUCUGGUGUGAAAGGUUCAGGGCUCAACCCGAAGAGUGCACUGGAGACUGUGGAGCUUGAGUUUGGGAGAGGAGAGUGGAAUUCCUGGUGUAGCGGUGAAAUGCGUAGAUAUCAGGAGGAACACCGAUGGCGAAGGCAGCUCUCUGGCCCGAAACUGACGCUGAGGUGCGAAAGCGUGGGGAGCGAACGG
rnacentral:rRNA from 1 species